UUAGAUACCCUGGUAGUCCACGCUGUAAACGAUGUCGAUUUGGAGGUUGUGCCCUUGAGGCGUGGCUUCCGGAGCUAACGCGUUAAAUCGACCGCCUGGGGAGUACGGCCGCAAGGUUAAAACUCAAAUGAAUUGACGGGGGCCCGCACAAGCGGUGGAGCAUGUGGUUUAAUUCGAUGCAACGCGAAGAACCUUACCUACUCUUGACAUCCAGAGAACUUAGCAGAGAUGCUUUGGUGCCUUCGGGAACUCUGAGACAGGUGCUGCAUGGCUGUCGUCAGCUCGUGUUGUGAAAUGUUGGGUUAAGUCCCGCAACGAGCGCAACCCUUAUCCUUUGUUGCCAGCGGUUCGGCCGGGAACUCAAAGGAGACUGCCAGUGAUAAACUGGAGGAAGGUGGGGAUGACGUCAAGUCAUCAUGGCCCUUACGAGUAGGGCUACACACGUGCUACAAUGGCAUAUACAAAGAGAAGCGACCUCGCGAGAGCAAGCGGACCUCAUAAAGUAUGUCGUAGUCCGGAUUGGAGUCUGCAACUCGACUCCAUGAAGUCGGAAUCGCUAGUAAUCGUAGAUCAGAAUGCUACGGUGAAUACGUUCCCGGGCCUUGUACACACCGCCCGUCACACCAUGGGAGUGGGUUGCAAAAGAAGUAGGUAGCUUAACCUUCGGGAGGGCGCUUACCACUUUGUGAUUCAUGACUGGG
rnacentral:rRNA from 1 species